AGUGAACGCUGGCGGCGUGCUUAACACAUGCAAGUCGAACGAGAACGGGAUAUAGCUUGCUAUAUUUGUCAGCUAAGUGGCGCACGGGUGAGUAAUGUAUAGAUAACCUGCCCUCUAGAAAGGAAUGACAGUUGGAAACGGCUGCUAAUGCCCUAUAUGCCUUUAAUACAUAAGUAUGCAAGGGAAACGCUUUAGUGCUAGAGGAUGGGUCUGUAUGGUAUCAGCUUGUUGGUGAGGUAAUGGCUCACCAAGGCUAUGACGCCUAACUGGUUUGAGAGGAUGAUCAGUCACACUGGAACUGAGACACGGUCCAGACUCCUACGGGAGGCAGCAGUGGGGAAUAUUGCACAAUGGACGAAAGUCUGAUGCAGCAACGCCGCGUGGAGGAUGACACAUUUCGGUGCGUAAACUCCUUUUAUAUAGGAAGAUAAUGACGGUACUAUAUGAAUAAGCACCGGCUAACUCCGUGCCAGCCGCCGCCGUAAAAC
rnacentral:rRNA from 1 species